UUCCAGACUCCUACGGGAGGCAGCAGUGGGGAAUAUUGGGCAAUGGGCGCAAGCCUGACCCAGCAACGCCGCGUGAAGGAAGAAGGCUUUCGGGUUGUAAACUUCUUUUAAGAGGGAAGAGAAGAAGACGGUACCUCUUGAAUAAGCCACGGCUAACUACGUGCCAGCAGCCGCGGUAAUACGUAGGGGGCAAGCGUUAUCCGGAUUUACUGGGUGUAAAGGGAGCGUAGACGGAUAAGCAAGUCUGAUGUGAAAAUCCGGGGCCCAACCCCGGAAUUGCAUUGGAAACUGCAUAUCUAGAGUGUCGGAGAGGCAAGUGGAAUUCCUGGUGUAGCGGUGAAAUGCGUAGAUAUCAGGAGGAACACCAGUGGCGAAGGCGGCUUGCUGGACGAUGACUGACGUUGAGGCUCGAAAGCGUGGGGAGCAAACAGGAUUAGAUACCCUUGUAA
rnacentral:rRNA from 1 species